GAGGCCAUUGCUAUCGGAGUCCGAUUUAGCCAUGCUAGUUGUGCGGGUUUAGACCCGCAGCGGAAAGCUCAGUAACACGUGGCCAAGCUACCCUGUGGACGGGAAUACUCUCGGGAAACUGAGGCUAAUCCCCGAUAACGCUUUGCUCCUGGAAGGGGCAAAGCCGGAAACGCUCCGGCGCCACAGGAUGCGGCUGCGGUCGAUUAGGUAGACGGUGGGGUAACGGCCCACCGUGCCCAUAAUCGGUACGGGUUGUGAGAGCAAGAGCCCGGAGACGGAAUCUGAGACAAGAUUCCGGGCCCUACGGGGCGCAGCAGGCGCGAAACCUUUACACUGUACGAAAGUGCGAUAAGGGGACUCCGAGUGUGAAGGCAUAGAGCCUUCACUUUUGUACACCGUAAGGUGGUGCACGAAUAAGGACUGGGCAAGACCGGUGCCAGCCGCCGCGGUAAUACCGGCAGUCCGAGUGAUGGCCGAUCUUAUUGGGCCUAAAGCGUCCGUAGCUGGCUGAACAAGUCCGUUGGGAAAUCUGUCCGCUUAACGGGCAGGCGUCCAGCGGAAACUGUUCAGCUUGGGACCGGAAGACCUGAGGGGUACGUCUGGGGUAGGAGUGAAAUCCUGUAAUCCUGGACGGACCGCCGGUGGCGAAAGCGCCUCAGGAGAACGGAUCCGACAGUGAGGGACGAAAGCUAGGGUCUCGAACCGGAUUAGAUACCCGGGUAGUCCUAGCUGUAAACGAUGUCCGCUAGGUGUGGCGCAGGCUACGAGCCUGCGCUGUGCCGUAGGGAAGCCGAGAAGCGGACCGCCUGGGAAGUACGUCUGCAAGGAUGAAACUUAAAGGAAUUGGCGGGGGAGCACUACAACCGGAGGAGCCUGCGGUUUA
rnacentral:rRNA from 1 species